rnacentral:lncRNA from 1 species
AAGCAUGAAAGGUGGUUACUUAAUUAGGACCUUGCUCUCUGAGUAAGGGGAGCCUCCCACCUGCUUACCUGGCCAAUUGUUCGAUUACCUCUUAUGAAGGGCUCAAGUUGCAAACACUAAGACCUGAUUAACCAAUAUUAAGUCAAUAGGUCUUCCACUGUAGUAGAGCUGCUAAGGCCUUUCUGAUGUUAAUUUGUCUCGGCUGGACACAGUGGUCAAGUUGCAUCGGGGGGCUGGAUCUCUCUAUAGACAUGAGAUGUUGUAGGGUAAAGGUGGGGUUGGGCACCAAUAACUGUUAGGUGAGGACCCAAUGACGACUUUAUUCCUACGGUUAUACGGUGGGUCUGACUUAACUAAGAAAUGGGACCAAUAACUGUUAGGUGAGGUCUUCAUGGCUUAGAGACCAAGUUACACUGCAAUAUGGUUGAGAAGCAUUGUACAAGAGUUGUACACUGAUCCAUCUAUGUGUCACCAAUAACUGUUAGGUGAGGUGGCAUGUAAAUCGGUGGGACCGCAGUACCUACUAGAAACCCUAGUCGCGU